rnacentral:rRNA from 1 species
ACCCGCUGAACUUAAGCAUAUCAAUAGGCGGAGGAAAAGAAACCAACAGGGAUUGCUCUAGUAACGGCGAGUGAAGCAGCAAUAGCUCAAAUUUGAAAUCUGGCGUCUUCGACGUCCGAGUUGUAAUUUGUAGAGGAUGCUUCUGAGUGGCCACCGACCUAAGUUCCUUGGAACAGGACGUCAUAGAGGGUGAGAAUCCCGUAUGCGGUCGGAAAGGCGCUCUAUACGUAGCUCCUUCGACGAGUCGAGUUGUUUGGGAAUGCAGCUCUAAAUGGGAGGUAAAUUUCUUCUAAAGCUAAAUAUUGGCCAGAGACCGAUAGCGCACAAGUAGAGUGAUCGAAAGAUGAAAAGCACUUUGGAAAGAGAGUUAAAAAGCACGUGAAAUUGUUAAAAGGGAAGGGAUUGCAACCAGACUUGCUCGCGGUGUUCCGCCGGUCUUCUGACCGGUCUACUCGCCGCGUUGCAGGCCAGCAUCGUCUGGUGCCGCUGGAUAAGACUUGAGGAAUGUAGCUCCCUCGGGAGUGUUAUAGCCUCUUGUGAUGCAGCGAGCGCCGGGCGAGGUCCGCGCUUCGGCUAGGAUGCUGGCGUAAUGGUCGUAAUCCGCCCGUCUUGAAACACGGACCAAGGAGUCUAACAUCUAUGCGAGUGUUCGGGUGUCAAACCCCUACGCGUAAUGAAAGUGAACGGAGGUGAGAACCGCAAGGUGCAUCAUCGACCGAUCCUGAUGUCUUCGGAUGGAUUUGAGUAAGAGCAUAGCUGUUGGGACCCGAAAGAUGGUGAACUAUGCCUGAAUAGGGUGAAGCCAGAGGAAACUCUGGUGGAGGCUCGCAGCGGUUCUGACGUGCAAAUCGAUCGUCAAAUUUGGGUAUAGGGGCGAAAGACUAAUCGAACCAUCUAGUAGCUGGUUCCUGCCGAAGUUUCCCUCAG